rnacentral:rRNA from 1 species
UACGAAGGGGGCUAGCGUUGUUCGGAAUUACUGGGCGUAAAGCGCACGUAGGCGGAUUGUUAAGUCGGGGGUGAAAUCCUGAGGCUCAACCUCAGAACUGCCUUCGAUACUGGCGAGCUCGAGUUCGGGAGAGGUGAGUGGAACUGCGAGUGUAGAGGUGAAAUUCGUAGAUAUUCGCAAGAACACCAGUGGCGAAGGCGGCUCACUGGCCCGAUACUGACGCUGAGGUGCGAAAGCGUGGGGAGCAAACAGG